AGGGUGUGGGCGACCACGGGAUUGCCCUAGUAACGGCGAGUGAAGCGGCAUCAGCUCAAAUUUGAAAUCUGGCUCUUUUAGGGUCCGAGUUGUAAUUUGCAGAGGGCGCUUUGGCGUUGGCAGCGGUCCAAGUUCCUUGGAACAGGACGUCACAGAGGGUGAGAAUCCCGUACGUGGUCGCUGGCCUUCGCCGUGUAAAGCCCCUUCGACGAGUCGAGUUGUUUGGGAAUGCAGCUCUAAAUGGGAGGUAAAUUUCUUCUAAAGCUAAAUACUGGCCAGAGACCGAUAGCGCACAAGUAGAGUGAUCGAAAGAUGAAAAGCACUUUGGAAAGAGAGUCAAAUAGCACGUGAAAUUGUUGAAAGGGAAGCGCUUGCAGCCAGACUUGCCUGUAGUUGCUCAUCCGGGCUUUUGCCCGGUGCACUCUUCUGCGGGCAGGCCAGCAUCAGUCUAGGCGGUUGGAUAAAGGCCUCUGUCACGUACCUCCUUUCGGGGAGGCCUUAUAGGGGAGGCGUAAUGCAACCAGCCUGGACUGAGGUCCGCGCAUCUGCUAGGAUGCUGGCGUAAUGGCUGUAAGCGGCCCGUCUUGAAACACGGACCAAGGAGUCUAACAUCUAUGCGAGUGUUUGGGUGUCAAGCCCGAACGCGUAAUGAAAGUGAACGGAGGUGGGAUCCCUUUAGGGUGCACCAUCGACCGAUCCUGAUGUCUUCGGAUGGAUUUGAGUAAGAGCAUGGCUGUUGGGACCCGAAAGAUGGUGAACUAUGCUUGAAUAGGGUGAAGCCAGAGGAAACUCUGGUGGAGGCUCGCAGCGGUUCUGACGUGCAAAUCGAUCGUCAAAUUUGGGCAUAGGGGCGAAAGACUAAUCGAACUAUCUAGUAGCUGGUUCCUGCCGAGUUCCCCUCUUUUUAUGAGAGAAACG
rnacentral:rRNA from 1 species